rnacentral:lncRNA from 1 species
AAUGUUGACUGAAGGAAAGAGUUCAGUUUAGGGUUUAAAACCCUAAUGCUGACUGAAUGGAAAGAGUUCAGUUUAGGGUUUAAAACACUAAUGCUGAUUGAAGGGAAAAGUUCAGUUUAGGGUUUAAAACCCUAAUGCUGACUAAAGGAAAAAGUUCAGUUUAGAGUUUAAAACCCUAAUGCUGACUAAAUGGAAAAAGUUCAGUUUAGGGUUUAAAACCCUAAUGCUGACUAAAGGGAAUAGUUCAGUUUAGGGUUUAAAACCCUAAUGCUGACUAAGGAAAAGUUCAGUUUAGGGUUUAAAACCCUAAUGCUGACUGAAUGGAAAGAGUUCAGUUUAGGGUUUAAAACCCUAAUGCUGAUUGAAGGGAAAAAUUCAGUUUAGGGUUUAAAACCCUAAUGCUGACUAAAGGAAAAGAGUUCAGUUUAGGGUUUAAAACCCUAAUGCUGACUAAAGCAAAAGAGUUUAGUUUAGGGUUUAAAACCCUAAUGCUGACUGAAGGAAAAGAGUUCAGUUUAGGGUUUAAAACCCUAAUGUUGACUGAAGGAAAAGAGUUCAGUUUAGGGUUUAAAACCCUAAUGUUGACUGAAUGGAAAGAAUUCAGUUUAGGGUUUAAAACCCUAAUGCUGACUAAAGGGAAUAGUUCAGUUUAGAGUUUAAAACCCUAAUGCUGACUAAGGAAAAGUUCAGUUUAGGGUUUAAAACCCUAAUGCUGACUGAAUGGAAAGAGUUCAGUUUAGGGUUUAAAACCCUAAUGUUGACUGAAGGAAAGAGUUCAGUUUAGGGUUUAAAACCCUAAUGCUGACUGAAGGAAAAAAGUUCAGUUUAGGGUUUAAAACCCUAAUGUUGACUAAAGGAAAAGAGUUCAGUUUUGGGUUUAAAACCCUAAUGCUGACUGAAGGAAAGAGUUCAGUUUAGGGUUUAAAACCCUAAUGCUGACUGAAGGAAAAGAGUUCAGUUUAGGGUUUAAACCCUAAUGCUGACUGAAGGAAAAGAGUUCAGUUUAGGGUUUAAAACCCUAAUGCUGACUAAAGGAAAAGAGUUCAGUUUGGGUUUAAAACCCUAAUGCUGACUGAAGGAAAAAAGUUCAGUUUAGGGUUUAAAACCCUAAUGUUGACUGAAUGGAAAGAGUUCAGUUUAGGGUUUAAAACCCUAAUGCUGACUAAAUGGAAAGUU